GUUGCGUUUUUGGCGAAGGCGGCUGCUGGCAGGGGAACAGUGAGCCAGCCUGGUACCAUCUGGACCUCUGCCAGAGCUCCAUGGGAGAGAGACCCACACUGGAGGUCGGUGUGAACAGGGACGCGUGUGUGUGUGUGUGACAGAGAGAGAUGGGCAUGAUGGGAAAUUAGCAGGAGGAGGGGAAACGGAGCGAUACUGUAGGUUGGCACAAACCUGACUUCUGUGGAUGCUGAGCAUCGUGCAGCAAACGGGAACCCUGUGGUGGAACCUUUCCCAGAAGGGCUGGACAUGAUCAUGUUCGGUCUGAAGAUGAUUGGAGCUAGUCCGGUUGGAGCAGCUUCUCAAAGUGUUGUGGAAAGCCAGGACCCCACUCAGGGUAGAGCGUGCACACACACACACACACACACACACACACACACACACACAGCAGCAGCAGCAGACCCAUGAAGAGUGUAGUCGUCCAUGUUUCUGGUCAUCCAGAAACAUGAUGUGUACUCUGUGUGUGUGUGUGUGUGUGUGUGUGUGUGUGUGUGUGUGUGUGUGUGUGUGUGUGUGUGUAUAUCCCUG
ensembl:lncRNA